UGAACCUAUUAUUCAGGGCAGGACCCCAUCUCUUAUGGUGUGAGGCCCUUGUCCGAAUCUGUCUCCAUUCUGAAUAAAGCUCUUGAAAGCAAUGCGUGCUGGUGUUUUAUCCCCGCUCUGCUCUGGCUAAUGAGUAACAGGAUCCACGGGUAAUUGGACCAUCGUCUCCCUAGUCGUUGGGUACUGCAUGGAGUCGGGAUCUAACAUUGUAAACUUUGA